rnacentral:lncRNA from 1 species
CCGAACCCCCUUACCCCGCUUGGUAGAUGAUGGUCAAGGAGGCUCGCAUUAAGCAGCUGGAGGCCAUGGUGGUGCCGCGACCCAUCAGCCGGGAGAGGCUGCCGCCCAUGGACGGAUUCCCGGCACCCCCACCUGCACAACCACCUCCACAACUACAACCACCGUCACAACCGCCAGGCAACGGUGCCGGCUUGGGUAACGGGUAUUCCGGGUCAGGCGCCGGCGGCGGCAUGCGGGAGAGCGGCAGUGGUAACGGCGGCGGGCCCGGACUAGGUGGUGGCGGUGGUUCGAGUGCAUCAAUUUUGACUGCGGCGGCGAUUGCGGCGUCUAUGGGGCCGGCCCCCC